GGGAGAGGUACUGGAAAUUAAAGAGUGAAGGACUGAUCAGGCUGUUUGAAGAGAAACUUUGCCAUAUCUCACACUUUAUCAUCCUUAAGGGUGAAUCGGCCUGGAAGUUGUUCAUUCUCUCCCAAGCCUGAAACAGCGGAUAAACGACCCCACCUCAUGCUGGGAAGAGAGAGCUUGGGAUCCCUGGCACGUGAGAAACAGAGCCUGGCGUAGAUCAGAGCUCUCCAUCCAGAGUGUCAUGACUUAGCUG
rnacentral:lncRNA from 1 species